UACGUAGGGUGCAAGCGUUAAUCGGAAUUACUGGGCGUAAAGCGCGUGUAGGCGGUCCGGUAAGUCGGCUGUGAAAGUCCAGGGCUCAACCCUGGGAUGCCGGUCGAUACUGCCGGACUAGAGUUCGGAAGAGGCGAGUGGAAUUCCCGGUGUAGCGGUGAAAAUGCGCAGAUAUCGGGAGGAACACCAAUGGCGAAGGCAGCUCGCUGGGACGUUACUGACGCUGAG
rnacentral:rRNA from 1 species